rnacentral:pre_miRNA from 1 species
AUCACCUGGGGAUCUUGCUAAAAUGCAAAUUCUGACUUGGUCUGGGAAGUGUGCCCUGAGGCCUGAGCAUCUGCAUUUCUAACAAGCUCCCAGGUGAUGCCAA